GACAGAGGAGGCGAGCGUUGUUCGGAUUCACUGGGCUUAAAGCGCGUGUAGGCGGCCCGGCAAGUGUCGUGUGAAAUCCCACGGCUCAACCGUGGAACGGCACGGCAAACUGCCGGGCUUGAGGUCGGUAGGGGUGCCUGGAACUCCAGGUGGAGCGGUGAAAUGCGUAGAUAUCUGGAGGAACGCCGGAGGCGAAAGCGGGGCACUGGGCCGAUGCUGACGCUGAGACGCGAAAGCGUGGGGAGCAAACAGG
rnacentral:rRNA from 1 species